AUAGAACAAAAAUUUCUAAUAACAAUGUUUUACCAAAUACGAGUGUUUUUUAUUGCACAAAAUUACUUUGAAACCAUUUGCCAAAAAAAGUUCACUGUACUCGGUUCCGAUCGAAUUAUAACAUGUAUAUAUGUUAUAAUUCUUUAACUUACCAAAGUCGUGAUUAUAGAUACAAGUGGGCGGCUACAUAUAUAUCUUUCCCUGGAAAACGUCAAGAAAAUACAAUCAAACUAGCUAACCUUCCCACCACAACAAUGUAAUGUAUUCGAAAACGUCAAUAAAUUAAACUGUAGUUUGAUUCUUUGACCUAAAGAAAAUUCCAGUUUGAUUGUUUCCGGUUCGAAUUGAACGCGAGAAAAUGCUUAGUGAUGAUUCUUCUGGCAAAUCGGAAACUGGAAACUGGGAACCUAGCCAUGGCAUGUGGGAUGAGCUAGGUUGCUGUAAUUAGCUGAAUCAGAAUUGUGGUCGAUCGGUUUCAUGCAGAAGCCUCCAAACUUCCACAUGGGGUUUUCAGGUCAUCAAUUGUCACAUAUAUCACUUUGCAAACGAUACCGUCGUGUUUGUAAACCCUAGCGGGCUCCCGGUUUUUAGGAGUCACACCCGAAAACCAUUACCACCUUCCAAACAAUCUGUGUUCGGCUAGCUGCUGCCUUCUGUGUAAAGGCAAUGGCCAAUGGGGCCUUAAACAUAGAUAGGGUUUGAUUAAGAAAACAAAGUUGGUACUACAAACGCAAAUGCAGCCUUCUAAAAUGGAAGUUAAUUUCCACAAAGGCACUAACCAGUUUUAGCGUACGGUUUAUGAUUAAAAAUUGACCAUUUUGUCAUUUUGACCCACCUUAAUUAUCUAUUCACUUCACUCCAGGAAUCCAUUGUACGUUAAUCACAAAACAAUAGUGUUAGUUGAGAGAGGAGUUGCCAUAUAUGCUCGACGACAUGUAGGCUAACACAAUUUGCUUUCAUUUUUAUAAGAUUUUGUUUCUGUCCAAGAUUGGAUUAAAAAUUGCAUUUAAUCGUGUCUUCUUUUAUCGGAUCUUUGAAAUUAAGACAAUCGUUUGUCUGAACACAAAGACUUCAAUUCACCCUGAAUUCAAUUUAUUUGGAAUAUGAACUGAUUGGUUUAGUUUGAAAUAUGAUAGUUAACCAAAAUUUCUGCCCUCUAUUGAAUAGCCUAGACCAUUAUUCGAUCAUGGAUCCGCCACUAGCUAU
rnacentral:lncRNA from 1 species